rnacentral:lncRNA from 1 species
GUCAGAUCUAGCCGGCCUUAUCCCGCAUCGGAAGCAUUUUAGGAAGGGUCUUUAUCACCCACUGCGCUCCCGGCAGCCUCCGUGCCGUUUCAUCUACGACUAAUGCGUUUUCUCCGCGAGAAGGAUUUGUGUGUGAAUAUCCACUAUCAUUUCUCUUGGAUAAAUGCCUAGCAGUGGAAUUGCUGAGUCAUACACUGAGAGUAGUGAGAGAAUACAGAGCAGACAAGAAAAAACAGCAGAUGCUUGUUGUUAAGAAUCUGACUGACCUGAACUUACUCUUGCAAUGGCCAGUGAAGAUCGCCAGGUUUUCGGGACAAAGCCAGGAACUGGAGAAGCCUCCAGGAUGGAGCUGGGACCUUGGGGGAAGGUCAGCAGGUUGAAAACACAGAUGUGGAAUUAAGAGGAAGGAAAGAGGAAGUGAGGCCAGAGAGGAAAAGACUGCAAGACUCAUCCCAGACAGACUGUAAGCCAGUGCUUUUCAGCAGGGGGCAAUUUUGCCCUACCUUCAUUUGACAGUGGGUGACCUUCAGCCGUUUCUGGAGUCGUGUUUGGUUACUAGAACUUGGGGUUAGGUGAUGCUGGUGUCUAGUGGGUAACGCCAGGAGUGCUGCUAACCAUUCUGUGGCAUACAGAACAGCCCCAACAACACACUCAUCUAGCUCAAAACAUUAGUAGUGCUGUGACUGAGAAACCUGCUCGAAACCAAUUGAGAAGGGACUCGACGGGAGGGCUAACAUUCUCAGCCCCCUCUGCACGUGUGUGUGUGAUCAGCUAAUAGCUUUCUUUCUAGCGAUUGUGCUGUUCCUACAAGCCCU